rnacentral:rRNA from 1 species
GAUGAACGCUGGCGGCGUGCCUAAUACAUGCAAGUCGAGCGAAUGGAUUAAGAGCUUGCUCUUAUGAAGUUAGCGGCGGACGGGUGAGUAACACGUGGGUAACCUGCCCAUAAGACUGGGAUAACUCCGGGAAACCGGGGCUAAUACCGGAUAACAUUUUGAACCGCAUGGUUCGAAAUUGAAAGGCGGCUUCGGCUGUCACUUAUGGAUGGACCCGGGUCGCAUUAGCUAGUUGGUGAGGUAACGGCUCACCAAGGCAACGAUGCGUAGCCGACCUGAGAGGGUGAUCGGCCACACUGGGACUGAGACACGGCCCAGACUCCUACGGGAGGCAGCAGUAGGGAAUCUUCCGCAAUGGACGAAAGCCUGACGGAGCAACGCCGCGAGAGUGAUGAAGGCUUUCGGGUCGUAAAACUCUGUUGUUAGGGAAGAACAAGUGCUAGUUGAAUAAGCUGACACCUUGACGGUACCUAACCAGAAAGCCACGGCUAACUACGUGCCAGCCGCCGCUGUAA